CCUAAGACAUGCAAGUCGAACGAGACGGCCCACUGACAUUAUUGAAACUCUGCGAGCUUGCUCAAAGAGCGGAUUAAAUUGACGUGGAUUUCCGUCUAGUGGCAAACGGGUGAGUAACACGUGGGUACCUGCCUCGAAGAUCGGGAUACCUAUUGGAAACGAUAGUUAAUACCGAAUGUGAUCUACGGAUUAAAGGGAGCCUUUAAAGCUUCGCUUCGAGAUGGGCCUGCGGUGCAUUAGAUAGUUGGCGGUGUAAUGGACCACCAAGUCGACGAUGCAUAGCUGAACUGAGAGGUUGAUCGGCCACACUGGGACUGAUACACGGCCCAGACUCCUACGGGAGACAGCAGUUAGGAAUAUUCGUCAAUGGGGGAAACCCUGAACGAGCAAUGCCGCGUGAACGAUGACGGUCCUCUGGAUUGUAAAGUUCUGUUGUUUGGAAAUAAUGAUAGCUUUAGGAAAUGAUUGCUAUUUGAAGGUACCAUUCAAGAAAGCUCCGGCUAACUACGUGCCAGCCGCUGC
rnacentral:rRNA from 1 species